AACGAACGCUGGCGGCAUGCCUAACACAUGCAAGUCGAACGAAGCCUUCGGGCUUAGUGGCGCACGGGUGCGUAACGCGUGGGAAUCUGCCCUUGGGUACGGAAUAACAGUGAGAAAUUGCUGCUAAUACCGUAUGAUGUCUUCGGACCAAAGAUUUAUCGCCCAGGGAUGAGCCCGCGUAGGAUUAGCUAGUUGGUGAGGUAAAGGCUCACCAAGGCUACGAUCCUUAGCUGGUCUGAGAGGAUGAUCAGCCACACUGGGACUGAGACACGGCCCAGACUCCUACGGGAGGCAGCAGUGGGGAAUUUUCUGCAAUGGGCGAAAGCCUGACAGAGCAAUACCGCGUGAGGGAUGAAGACUUACUGAGUUGUAAACCUCGGUACCUUAAGGAAGAAGAUCUGACGGUACUUAAGGUGGAAAGCAUCGGCUAACUCCGUG
rnacentral:rRNA from 1 species